rnacentral:rRNA from 1 species
CCUACGGGAGGCAGCAGUGAGGAAUAUUGGUCAAUGGGCGUAAGCCUGAACCAGCCAAGUCGCGUGAGGGAUGAAGGUUCUAUGGAUCGUAAACUUCUUUUAUAAGGGAAUAAAGUGCGGGAUGUGUCCCGUUUUGUAUGUACCUUAUGAACAAGGAUAGGCUAACUCCGCGCCAGCAGCCGCGGUAAUACGGAGGAUCCGAGCGUUCUCCGGAUUUAUUGGGUUUAAAGGGUGCGUAGGCGGCGUAUUAUGUCAGCGGUGAAAGUCUGUGGCUCAACCAUGGAAUUGCCGUUGAAACUGGGAGGCUUGAGUAUGUUUGAGGCAGGCGGAAUGCGUGGUGUAGCGGUGAAAUGCUUAGAUA